CUUACCUGGCGGCGCCGCACCUGCCUGCCCCGCACCCUGCAGGAGCCGGGAGCUCAGGCACUGGCGUCACCUGGGCAAUUGGGAAAGCGGCGCCCGGAGCCACGGGGAGCGGAGAUGAAAGGCGGGCGGCGGGUGCGGGCCGCCUGCAGCGCCAGGUGAGAGCCGGGAGCCCCGCCCCGCGCCCGGGGACCAGCCUCGGAUCCGGAGACCCUUCUGCAUUUUACUUGUGAGGGAACGAUGGUGCGGAGAAGCCAGGGGACGGCGCCCAGGCUGAAACUAGGUCCUGUGGUCAGUAGCAUCAGAAAGCCCAUGAUCCUCCUUCUGACGAAUCAGCAGAAGGUCAAUGGCAGCCUAACUCCAUGUCACACUGCCUGUGUCAUGCUCGCUUCAUCUCUUCACAUAGGUAUUUUAUCAUCUCAUGCCAUUACA